GCUGCACAGAGCUAUAUUAUAAUCAUUUGGUUUUUUGAUUUUUAGUGUCAAGUUAUUCCGUAUAUCAAAUGAUAAUCACGAUUGGCCUUUCUCUGUUUGCAUUUUUGCAGGGUUCACCAUGUUCUCUCAUUCCUGUGAGCCCUGGGAGGUGCAGAGUCCUUUACCAGUGGUAGGGAGGACCAGGACUGUUGUGGCCUGUGGCUCCCAGGUGUAAGGUCCUGGAGGUCUACCUUGUUUGGUGGCUGUGGCCCAGCACCUCCCUGGGACUUCAGGGGACUCCACUGAAUGCCUCGCAGAUGCUGAUUUGUUUUCUUGUGCUCUUUUGUUUAAUUUGAAGAGCAAAGUAAGGAGGUAUCUGCCAAUUCUGGUUUUAAUGGGUGUUUUCAUUAUGGAUUGAAUGAAUAUUUUAAGGCCUUUUCAAUAACUGUGAGUCUUUUUCAGAUUGAAGUACUAAUGUCACAGGGGCCUCAUAAAAAGAAUUUGUAAGUUUUUUUUUUUCUUUCCCAUGCUCUGGUCUCUGCAUUUUUAAAUCGAAUCCUCUUAAGUAAAGUCAUGUUGAGCUUUUUGGUGUUAGUUUCCUUGAUACUUUUCUUUUUUCCCCUGGAAAUGUUUAAAUGUUUAACCUUCCUAUCUCUACUGAGGUCAGUUUUGGUAAAUUGUAUUUUUAAGGAAAUUAAUCGUUUCACCCAUGAACAUGAUUGUACAGGUAUCUCUUCAAGAUCCUGCUUUUCAUUCUCUCAUGUAUGUGCCCCAAAAUGAAAUUGCUGGAUUAUGUAGUAAUCCCAUUUUUAAUUUUUUGAGGAACUGCCAUACUGUUGUCCACAGCGGUUGUACCAUUUUACAUUCCUACCAACAAUGCACACAGAUGCUGAUUUCUUUACACGCUUCCUUCUAGCACUUGGUAUUUUAUAAAUAAUGCCCAUUCUAACAGGUCUGAGGUUAUAUCUCAUUGUAGCUUUGAUUUGCAUUUCCCUCAUUAUUAAUGCAUCUUUUCAUAUGCCUAUUGGCCAUUCAUAUAUGUUCUUUGGAGAAAUGUCUAUUCAAG